CGUGCCGGCGCGUGGCGGCCACGCCGUCGCCGCUGUCGGCGACGGUGGCGAGCAACGCGUCGUCCACGCCGAUGAGUUCGACCUCCACCCGGCGCGG
rnacentral:tRNA from 1 species